AUAACAAUACAGGACUCCUUAGAGGCCCUGUAAUUGGAAUGAGUCCACUUGAAAUCCUUUAACUCUGAUCAACUGGAGGGCAAGUCUGGUGCAGAGCGACUGACCCGUGCGUGCUGCAGCUGAAACUCCACUAUCGCCUGCUGCUG